UAUAAUCUAGUGGACCGCUGAAGAAGAAGCUGCUCUAAAAGCUCCAAUAAUAAAAAGAUUUGAAGCUGAAGGUUCACCAUACUUCUCCUCUGCCAGGCUUUGGGAUGACGGGGUUAUAGACCCUGUAGACAGUAGAAGGGUGCUUGGAUUAUCGUUGAGCGCAGCUCUGAAUGCUCCUAUUCCUGACACUAAAUUCGGGAUUUUUAGAAUGUAAAAUUCAGAUUUUUUGAAUUUUAGAUCCGAAAUUCAGAAUAUAAAAUUCAGAUUCAUGGAGUUCUAGAUACUAGAUUUAGAUUUAAAAAAUCAGAUUCAUGGAGUUCUAGUUUCUAGGUUUCAAUCCAAUUAUUACUCUAGAAUACUCGUAAAAAGUGUGAUCCAUGUGAUGUAUGUGAAGUAUGUAUGUUUCUUCUUUAAUCAGAUUCACGGAGUUCUAGUUUCUAGGUUUCAAUCCAAUUAUUACUCUAGAAUACUCGUAAAAAGUGUUAUCCAUAUAAUGUAUGUGAAGUAUGUAUGUUUCUUCUUUAAUUUACCGGAAGUACACUGGUGCUAUUAUUAUUUAUUUUAUAAUUGUUAGAAGUCAAAUAAAUUAUUUCGUUUUGUUUA